UACGUAGGUGGCAAGCGUUGUCCGGAUUUAUUGGGUUUAAAGGGUGCGUAGGCGGUCUUAUAAGUCAGUGGUGAAUACGGCAGCUUAACUGUCGAGGUGCCAUUGAUACUGCAAGACUUGAGUACAGACGAGGUAGGCGGAAUUGACGGUGUAGCGGUGAAAUGCUUAGAUAUCGUCAAGAACACCGAUAGCGAAGGCAGCUUACUAGACUGUAACUGACGCUGAUGCACGAAAGUGUGGGAUCAAACAGG
rnacentral:rRNA from 1 species